rnacentral:rRNA from 1 species
CACGUACUGUGCGAACGUUAUUCGGAAUCACUGGGCUUAAAGGGUGCGUAGGCGGCAAUUCAAGUCAGGUGUGAAAUGCCUGAGCUCAACUGAGGCAUUGCGCUUGAAACUGAACUGCUAGAGUAUCCCAGGGGUGUGCGGAACUGCCAGUGGAGCGGUGAAAUGUGUUGAUAUUGGCAGGAACACCGGAGGCGAAAGCGGCACACUGGGGGAUAACUGACGCUGAGGCACGAAAGCCAGGGGAGCGAACGGG